rnacentral:rRNA from 1 species
AACGGUGGUAAUGCCGGAUGUUCCACAUGAUCGCAUGUGAUUGUGGGAAAGAUUCUAUCGGCGUGGGAUGGGGUCGCGUCCUAUCAGCUUGUUGGUGAGGUAACGGCUCACCAAGGCUUCGACGGGUAGCCGGCCUGAGAGGGCGACCGGCCACAUUGGGACUGAGAUACGGCCCAGACUCCUACGGGAGGCAGCAGUGGGGAAUAUUGCACAAUGGGCGCAAGCCUGAUGCAGCGACGCCGCGUGAGGGAUGGAGGCCUUCGGGUUGUAAACCUCUUUUGUUUGGGAGCAAGCCUUCGGGUGAGUGUACCUUUCGAAUAAGCGCCGGCUAACUACGUGCCAGCAGCCGCGGUAAUACGUAGGGCGCAAGCGUUAUCCGGAUUUAUUGGGCGUAAAGGGCUCGUAGGCGGCUCGUCGCGUCCGGUGUGAAAGUCCAUCGCUUAACGGUGGAUCUGCGCCGGGUACGGGCGGGCUGGAGUGCGGUAGGGGAGACUGGAAUUCCCGGUGUAACGGUGGAAUGUGUAGAUAUCGGAGAAGAAACACC